rnacentral:rRNA from 1 species
GGACGAACGCUGGCGGCGUGCCUAAUACAUGCAAGUCGAACGAACUCUGGUAUUGAUUGGUGCUUGCAUCAUGAUUUACAUUUGAGUGAGUGGCGAACUGGUGAGUAACACGUGGGAAACCUGCCCAGAAGCGGGGGAUAACACCUGGAAACAGAUGCUAAUACCGCAUAACAACUUGGACCGCAUGGUCCGAGUUUGAAAGAUGGCUUCGGCUAUCACUUUUGGAUGGUCCCGCGGCGUAUUAGCUAGAUGGUGGGGUAACGGCUCACCAUGGCAAUGAUACGUAGCCGACCUGAGAGGGUAAUCGGCCACAUUGGGACUGAGACACGGCCCAAACUCCUACGGGAGGCAGCAGUAGGGAAUCUUCCACAAUGGACGAAAGUCUGAUGGAGCAACGCCGCGUGAGUGAAGAAGGGUUUCGGCUCGUAAAACUCUGUUGUUAAAGAAGAACAUAUCUGAGAGUAACUGUUCAGGUAUUGACGGUAUUUAACCAGAAAGCCACGGCUAACUACGUGCCAGCAGCCGCGGUAAUACGUAGGUGGCAAGCGUUGUCCGGAUUUAUUGGGCGUAAAGCGAGCGCAGGCGGUUUUUUAAGUCUGAUGUGAAAGUCUUCGGCUCAACCGAAGAAGUGCAUCGGAAACUGGGGAACUUGAGUGCAGAAGAGGACAGUGGAACUCCAUGUGUAGCGGUGAAAUGCGUAGAUAUAUGGAAGAACACCAGUGGCGAAGGCGGCUGUCUGGUCUGUAACUGACGCUGAGGCUCGAAAGUAUGGGUAGCAAACAGGAUUAGAUACCCUGGUAGUCCAUACCGUAAACGAUGAAUGCUAAGUGUUGGAGGGUUUCCGCCCUUCAGUGCUGCAGCUAACGCAUUAAGCAUUCCGCCUGGGGAGUACGGCCGCAAGGCUGAAACUCAAAGGAAUUGACGGGGGCCCGCACAAGCGGUGGAGCAUGUGGUUUAAUUCGAAGCUACGCGAAGAACCUUACCAGGUCUUGACAUACUAUGCAAAUCUAAGAGAUUAGACGUUCCCUUCGGGGACAUGGAUACAGGUGGUGCAUGGUUGUCGUCAGCUCGUGUCGUGAGAUGUUGGGUUAAGUCCCGCAACGAGCGCAACCCUUAUUAUCAGUUGCCAGCAUUAAGUUGGGCACUCUGGUGAGACUGCCGGUGACAAACCGGAGGAAGGUGGGGAUGACGUCAAAUCAUCAUGCCCCUUAUGACCUGGGCUACACACGUGCUACAAUGGAUGGUACAACGAGUUGCGAACUCGCGAGAGUAAGCUAAUCUCUUAAAGCCAUUCUCAGUUCGGAUUGUAGGCUGCAACUCGCCUACAUGAAGUCGGAAUCGCUAGUAAUCGCGGAUCAGCAUGCCGCGGUGAAUACGUUCCCGGGCCUUGUACACACCGCCCGUCACACCAUGAGAGUUUGUAACACCCAAAGUCGGUGGGGUAACCUUUUAGGAACCAGCCGCCUAAGGUGGGACAGAUGAUUAGGGUG